rnacentral:tRNA from 1 species
GGAGAGGUCGCAUAGUGGCCUAGUGCGGAGGUUUGCUAAACCUCUGAGGGGGCAACCCCUCCGUGGGUUCGACUCCCACCCUCUCCGCCA